rnacentral:ncRNA from 1 species
GUCCGUUCCGAGGGGGGCUCCGACGAGGAGCUGAGAUACCGCAAGCUUGCCGAUGCUGGUCGUAUCAGACCGCAUUCUGAGCAGGACCGCGGUGACCCUUUGAACCUGAUCCGGGUCAUGCCGGCGAAGGGACAGGGAUGUAUCAGACUA